CUACGGGUCGCAGCAGUGAGGAAUAUUGCACAAUGGGGGGAACCCUGAUGCAGCAACGCCGCGUGGAGGAUGACGCAUUUCGGUGUGUAAACUCCUUUUAUAUGUCAAGAAGAUGACGGUAGCAUAUGAAUAAGCACCGGCUAACUCCGUGCCAGCAGCCGCGGUAAUACGGAGGGUGCAAGCGUUACUCGGGAUCACUGGGCGUAAAGGACGCGUAGGCGGGUUGGAAAGUCAGGUGUGAAAUCCUACAGCUUAACUGUAGAACUGCACUUGAAACUUCUAAUCUAGAGUAUGGGAGGGGGAGAUGGAAUUAGUGGUGUAGGGGUAAAAUCCGUAGAUAUCACUAGGAAUACCUAAAGCGAAGGCGAUCUCCUGGAACAUUACUGACGCUAAGGCGUGAAAGCGUGGGGAGCAAACAGGAUUAGAUACCCGUGUAGUC
rnacentral:rRNA from 1 species